ACACAUAGUGGAACACCCCGGAAAAUUUUACCCCUAUUUCAUAUACUUUUGGUAAAAAUUCGGUUCAGGGAAUAAGCACAUACGUCGUAUUGUAGAGUGACAAGUGACCUACUCUCUCCGGCCAUUUUGCCUUGUGACGUCACGACCGCCAAUCCCAAUAAGGGAGUUGGGCAGAUACCGUUGCCCGAUUGUGAUUGGCUCCGCCAUUUUCCUAUUAACUUCUGGUAGUUCCGGCAACACCGGCACAGCCGCACAGCUUGGCAAUCUUGGCAUAGCUAUCAUCGAUGAUCAACGCAAUAACGUGAUAAGUGCUGUAUAUUAUUCACAUACGAAGAAAACUGUUUAUAUUGAAGGUAAAUAUUGUGUAAUUGUAAUAGAUAAUUAAAGUGAAAGUGAUGGAAUAUAAAAUACCCCCCGUAUAUAAAAUACCUUGUGAUUAAUGUGAAAAAUAGAAAAUGCUGCAUUGUGUAGCUUUUGGAUACUACAAUUCGCACAAAAAAGGCGCAGUAAUGCAUAUUUUUCCACGAGAUUUGCAACGUAAAGAAAAAUGGAUAGAAAAUGCUUGUGGACCUUCAGGAUUCAAAUACUGUAGAAUUCCAAACGAAAAUUCAUAUUUAUGUGAGUUCUAUUUCACGGUUGACAUGUAUAAGAAGGAAUGUGUUGAUGGCUGGAAAAAAUUGAAAUUAUCUGCUGUUCCAACGGUUUUUGGAGAACUUGUCAUUCAACAAAAUAAAAAAAAAUGUUGCAGCGUUUAUACUACAUAAGCUACAGAAAUCGUAGUAGCUUCUGAAUUAACAGCUCAGGGGAUGAAGGAUAUGUUCCCAAUAUCGAAGCUGUUGCAGAAAUUGAGAUAUCUAAUCUAGUUCAGAGAGAGAAAGAAUUUCUCUCCGAUACUAAACUCACUGGUAUUCGAUUAGAUAUUACCAUUCCUUCAGGAAGUUCCUCAUUCUGGCGAAUCAGCAAUUUUGAUGGCUAUUAGGUAUUUACAGAAUGUUGCUUACUCACGGUAAGCUAUGUAUGGGCAAAGAAAUAUUGGCAACGAAAGUACUACCGUUUCUGUUGCCUCUCUGCAUAGAACAAAAUCUUAGCAUGACACAAUACGAGGCACUUUCCAUGCUAGUCGAUAUGAUAAAUCGAGUAACCAGCGAGCAUCGAGAGGCAUUACGACAAUUGGAUUCGGUGCGCCGUGAGACGCAACAACUCGAUCAGGCACUUUCUCAAGUGACGUCGCCCACUUUUAUGCAAAACAACAGUCUAAGCGACAUUAAUCUAUCGCCUCAAGUUCUAUCCCCAAACGCACAGUAAAUAUUGAAAAUGGAUUAACCAUCGAAGACAAGUACAGAUUAAUUCAACAGCAAGAAACGCAUCAAAGAUUGCAGUCUCAAUCUAUGUUGACUCCUAUAAAGCUGCGCCACAACCUGUAAAGUCACAGCCAAAGGAUUUAAUAACUGCGACUUUGUUAAAAAACAAUCUAGACGAAUUAAAUCUGUCUAUGUCAAGAUCGACCAUGUCACAACCGGAUUACUCGGCUACUAAAAAUGCAUAUAAAUAUAACUACAUUGGUCUAACGCAAUCGCAAUUUUUAACAUCUCCAACGCUAAAUUCGCAAACAACAUUGAAUAGGCCAAUGAAUUGGAAUUCCAAUGGAAUGAACGCGCCCAUGAACUGGAACUCGCCACAAUCUACCUUGAUGUGGAACUUUAUUAUUCCCCAGAAUAAUGUAAAUUUUGUACCACAACCAGAAGUUAAACCAAACUUAAACUUUC